rfam:Polaromonas sp. JS666, complete genome.
UCCCGCUUUUCCUCCCUGAGCGGGGCCUUUGCGUGUGACAGCAAAAAGGCUUACCAGCCCGGUUGGCUUCGUGCCAACCGGGCAUUUUUUU